UACGAAGGGGGCGAGCGUUGUUCGGAAUCACUGGGCGUAAAGGGCGCGUAGGCGGCCCCUUCUUGUCGCGUGUGAAAGCCCCGGGCUCAACCUGGGAAUGGCGCGCGAGACGGGGGGGGCUGGAGUUCGGGAGAGGAGCGUGGAAUUCCCGGUGUAGCGGGUGAAAUGCGCAGAUAUCAGGAGGAACACCGGUGGCGAAGGCGGGUCUCUGGG
rnacentral:rRNA from 1 species